rnacentral:rRNA from 1 species
UACGGAGGGUGCAAGCGUUAUCCGGAUUUACUGGGUUUAAAGGGCUCGUAGGCGGCCAACUAAGUCAGACGUGAAAUCCCUCGGCUUAACCGGGGAACUGCAUCUGAUACUGGAUGGCUUGAGUUCGGGAGAGGGAUGCGGAAUUCCAGGUGUAGCGGUGAAAUGCGUAGAUAUCUGGAGGAACACCGGUGGCGAAGGCGGCAUCCUGGACCGGCACUGACGCUGAGGAGCGAAAGCCAGGGGAGCAAACGGG